AAGGAUUUAAGUUAAAAAAACUCACAGCCUUCAAAGCUGUAAAUAAAGGAAAGAGCUCUUUAAGCCUUA
rnacentral:tRNA from 2 species